AAGCAGCAGAUAAAGUUAAUGAAGAAUAAAUCUCAAACUCCCAUCUCUCAACAAAAACCCCUUGAUUUAUUGAAGAAAUGAAGUCCAUGAAGCCAAACAAUUUAUUUCAAAUAUUUAAUGAAGUA